UACGUAGGGCGCGAGCGUUGUCCGGAAUUAUUGGGCGUAAAGAGCUUGUAGGCGGUUUGUCGCGUCUGCUGUGAAAGACCGGGGCUUAACUCCGGUAUUGCAGUGGGUACGGGCUAACUAGAGUGCAGUAGGGGAGACUGGAAUUCCUGGUGCAGCGGUGAAAUGCGCAGAUAUCAGGAGGAACACCGAUGGCGAAGGCAGGUCUCUGGGCUGUAACUGACGCUGAGAAGCGAAAGCAUGGGGAGCGAAC
rnacentral:rRNA from 1 species